rnacentral:rRNA from 1 species
AGAGUUUGAUCAUGGCUCAGGAUGAACGCUGGCGGUAUGCUUAACACAUGCAAGUCGAACGAAGUGCUUCGGCACUUAGUGGCGGACGGGUGAGUAACGCGUGAGAAUCUGCCAAAAGGACUGGGACAACAGCUGGAAACGGCUGCUAAUACCGGAUAUGCCAGAAAGUGAAAUGGGUAAAACCGCCUUUUGAUGAGCUCGCGUCCGAUUAGCUAGUUGGUGGGGUAAAAGCCUACCAAGGCGACGAUCGGUAACUGGUCUGAGAGGAUGACCAGUCACACUGGGACUGAGACACGGCCCAGACUCCUACGGGAGGCAGCAGUGGGGAAUUUUCCGCAAUGGGCGAAAGCCUGACGGAGCAAUACCGCGUGAGGGAGGAAGGCUCUUGGGUUGUAAACCUCUUUUCUCAGGGAAGAACACAAUGACGGUACCUGAGGAAUCAGCAUCGGCUAACUCCGUGCCAGCAGCCGCGGUAAUACGGAGGAUGCAAGCGUUAUCCGGAAUGAUUGGGCGUAAAGCGUCCGCAGGUGGCUUUGCAAGUCUGCUGUCAAAGCUCAGGGCUUAACCCUGAAUCGGCGGUGGAAACUGAAAGGCUAGAGUGUGGUAGGGGCAGAGGGAAUUCCCAGUGUAGCGGUGAAAUGCGUAGAGAUUGGGAAGAACACCAGUGGCGAAAGCGCUCUGCUAGACCGCAACUGACACUCAUGGACGAAAGCUAGGGGAGCGAAUGGGAUUAGAUACCCCCGUAGUCC